rnacentral:rRNA from 1 species
GACGAACGCUGGCGGCGUGCCUAAUACAUGCAAGUCGAGCGGACAGAUGGGAGCUUGCUCCCUGAUGUUAGCGGCGGACGGGUGAGUAACACGUGGGUAACCUGCCUGUAAGACUGGGAUAACUCCGGGAAACCGGGGCUAAUACCGGAUGCUUGAUUGAACCGCAUGGUUCAAUUAUAAAAGGUGGCUUUUAGCUACCACUUACAGAUGGACCCGCGGCGCAUUAGCUAGUUGGUGAGGUAACGGCUCACCAAGGCAACGAUGCGUAGCCGACCUGAGAGGGUGAUCGGCCACACUGGGACUGAGACACGGCCCAAACUCCUACGGGAGGCAGCAGUAGGGAAUCUUCCGCAAUGGACGAAAGUCUGACGGAGCAACGCCGCGUGAGUGAUGAAGGUUUUCGGAUCGUAAAACUCUGUUGUUAGGGAAGAACAAGUACCGUUCGAAUAGGGCGGUACCUUGACGGUACCUAACCAGAAAGCCACGGCUAACUACGUGCCAGCAGCCGCGGUAAUACGUAGGUG